UUGUCAGCUCCCUUUAGCCAAUUGCAUAUUCCAUGAAUUAUAAGUUAUAUGUUAUGUGUUAUAUAAAUAAAAUUUAUAUAAAAUAUAGAUAUACAUUUUAUAUAUUGUUUUAUAUAUUACAUAUUAUUUACAUAUUAUAUAUUGUAUAUCAUAUAGCAUACAUCAUAUAUUAUAUUUUGAAUUUUAUUUUAUAUCCUUAAUUGCAAAUAAAAUGAAAAAACUGGAUAAAUCAUGCUAUUAAGUUAUUUUUCCUAAUUUAUCUCUACAGUUGCUCCAACAGAAAUUUGAAUGACAAAAGAAAAUUCUAGCAAGAAGGAGGAUCCAAACAUAAAAGGUUACAAGUCCACGGUACAGUCAUUAGUAAUAAAUGGUGAAAAGAGGAGUCGAUAAAGGUUACAGGGAAACAAGAACUUCAACACCCAAAAGCACAGAGCGAUAUAGAUUAAGCUUACAUGUAGUAAUAGCCAGUCAACGUAUUAUUCUUUGAAAAGGUCAGGUGUGCCAAGGAGAUUAUAGAUAUGUCAGGGUGCAAAGCUAUACCAGAUGUCUCUAACUCAAUUAGCUACCGAGUCGUUUCUUGUUGGUCAUGGGGACUUUG
rnacentral:lncRNA from 1 species